UGAACGCUGGCGGCGUGCCUAAUACAUGCAAGUCGAGCGAACAGACGCGGAGCUUGCUCCUCUGACGUUAGCGGCGGACGGGUGAGUAACACGUGGAUAACCUACCUAUAAGACUGGGAUAACUUCGGGAAACCGGAGCUAAUACCGGAUAAUAUAUUGAACCGCAUGGUUCAAUAGUGAAAGACGGUUUUGCUGUCACUUAUAGAUGGAUCCGCGCCGCAUUAGCUAGUUGGUAAGGUAACGGCUUACCAAGGCAACGAUGCGUAGCCGACCUGAGAGGGUGAUCGGCCACACUGGAACUGAGACACGGUCCAGACUCCUACGGGAGGCAGCAGUAGGGAAUCUUCCGCAAUGGGCGAAAGCCUGACGGAGCAACGCCGCGUGAGUGAUGAAGGUCUUCGGAUCGUAAAACUCUGUUAUUAGGGAAGAACAAAUGUGUAAGUAACUAUGCACGUCUUGACGGUACCUAAUCAGAAAGCCAUGGCUAACUACGUG
rnacentral:rRNA from 1 species